GUGCUGGAUGCCGUGUCUCGCAAAUUCUAACCCUAAGUGUUUCCUCUCCACCCCUCCUCCCCUCAUUUGUAGCCGCCGCCGCCACUUCUUCUGGCAACAUCGCCCAGAUCCACCGCUCACCUCUGCCCAGCGCAAGCCCUUCCGGCUCCCAGCCAAUCCCCCACCGCCCCCUGACUCUCGAGACGGUGGUGUGAAGCCUCGCGGCCUUAUUCCCCCAUAGAUCGGUCGUCCUCUAAUGACCUCAACCCACCAAAUCACGGGCUUCUUCCAUCACGCCACCCCCGCAGAAGCAGCCACUCUUAGCAGUCACGGCCGACGUCCUAGUCUUAGCAGUCUCCGCCACGGCCACAGUGUCCCCAACGAUCGCGGCUUCAUCGUCUCCUCCCUGGAGAACGGCACGAAGCCGGAGUUCGGGUUGGCGCUGCAGGCCGUCGAGUAGGCGCGCUCCGCCGGCGAGUCACUCCGGAACGUACGGGGUCGAGCUCGAAUUUGUGGCCACUUGGAUUGGGAUAUGAUGUAGGGAUUGGGGAAAGUGACCGAUUCCAUGCGUGCAUGAGCUUGAGGAGAUGGGUGUGCUGGAGGACUCUGUCAAGAUCCGGUAUUCGCUGUUCUCCCGGACGACGGAGACUGCCAGGGUGGUCGCCGGCGUGCUGGGCGUCCCAUUCGAGGGUCCUGGCUGGAAGGCGGCGAUGGCAGGAGUUCCGUAUUAGGCAGAGGAAAAAGAGGGGAAGAAAGAAGGCUUGGGCAUGAGGGGUUAUUGGGUGGUGGUGACCUUCAAGUACCUGCCUCAUGGCACCUCACUCUACAGUCGUGGCAAGAGAUACUGAACAUAAUUCCCGACCCGUGACAACCUUUUUUGGCCUUAUCUCCAUCUCAGAGAUCUAGCUUCUAUCAAGAGAUGGAAAUUUAUCGGACUGGGCUGGGAAGAUAAUGGAGACUGCUACACAUGUUCCUUCGUUUCUCCGGAGCAAUAAAGAAGAUAUGGAAGUUGGGUCUUCAAUUGUAUCACCCACACUUAGUAUACACACGUGAAUAUAGUUACAAGUCAAAUCACAUAUUGUGCUCAUUUCACAAUGUAAUGUAGGACUAGUUAACUAUUAGUGAUUGUAACAUGUUUGAUUGAGAUCAUUUUAGUAAUAGUUACUAGAUUCUAGGGCUGGAGUUGUAACUGGAUGAAGCUUCAUUGUAACUGGAUUUGUAGUGGAGUUGAAGGCCGAAUUAUUUUAUGUGGUGCAUGUUUGUAAAGUUUCUGCAAUGGUGCUUAUUGCUUAAAUGAUCGGGACUAUUUAACAGAAUGUUUUUUCGUUGGAA